rnacentral:rRNA from 1 species
CUGGCGGCGUGCCUAAUACAUGCAAGUCGAGCGAACGGACGAGAAGCUUGCUUCUCUGAUGUUAGCGGCGGACGGGUGAGUAACACGUGGAUAACCUACCUAUAAGACUGGGAUAACUUCGGGAAACCGGAGCUAAUACCGGAUAAUAUUUUGAACCGCAUGGUUCAAAAGUGAAAGACGGUCUUGCUGUCACUUAUAGAUGGAUCCGCGCUGCAUUAGCUAGUUGGUAAGGUAACGGCUUACCAAGGCAACGAUGCAUAGCCGACCUGAGAGGGUGAUCGGCCACACUGGAACUGAGACACGGUCCAGACUCCUACGGGAGGCAGCAGUAGGGAAUCUUCCGCAAUGGGCGAAAGCCUGACGGAGCAACGCCGCGUGAGUGAUGAAGGUCUUCGGAUCGUAAAACUCUGUUAUUAGGGAAGAACAUAUGUGUAAGUAACUGUGCACAUCUUGACGGUACCUAAUCAGAAAGCCACGGCUAACUACGUGCCAGCAGCCGCGGUAAUACGUAGGUGGCAAGCGUUAUCCGGAAUUAUUGGGCGUAAAGCGCGCGUAGGCGGUUUUUUAAGCCUGAUGUGGAAGCCCACGGCUCAACCGUGGAGGGUCAUUGGAAACUGGAAAACUUGAGUGCAGAAGAGGAAAGUGGAAUUCCAUGUGUAGCGGUGAAAUGCGCAGAGAUAUGGAGGAACACCAGUGGCGAAGGCGACUUUCUGGUCUGUAACUGACGCUGAUGUGCGAAAGCGUGGGGAUCAAAAC